AUUGAACGCUGGCGGCAGGCCUAACACAUGCAAGUCGAGCGGCAGCGGGAAAGUAGCUUGCUACUUUUGCCGGCGAGCGGCGGACGGGUGAGUAAUGCCUGGGGAUCUGCCCAGUCGAGGGGGAUAACUACUGGAAACGGUAGCUAAUACCGCAUACGCCCUACGGGGGAAAGCAGGGGACCUUCGGGCCUUGCGCGAUUGGAUGAACCCAGGUGGGAUUAGCUAGUUGGUGAGGUAAUGGCUCACCAAGGCGACGAUCCCUAGCUGGUCUGAGAGGAUGAUCAGCCACACUGGAACUGAGACACGGUCCAGACUCCUACGGGAGGCAGCAGUGGGGAAUAUUGCACAAUGGGGGAAACCCUGAUGCAGCCAUGCCGCGUGUGUGAAGAAGGCCUUCGGGUUGUAAAGCACUUUCAGCGAGGAGGAAAGGUUGGUAGCUAGUAACUGCCAGCUGUGACGUUACUCGCAGAAGAAGCACCGGCUAACUCCGUGCCAGCCGCCGCAGUAA
rnacentral:rRNA from 1 species